UACGGAGGGAGCUAGCGUUGUUCGGAAUUACUGGGCGUAAAGCGCGCGUAGGCGGCUUUGCAAGUUAGAGGUGAAAGCCCGGAGCUCAACUCCGGAACUGCCUUUAAAACUGCAUCGCUAGAAUUGUGGAGAGGUGAGUGGAAUUCCGAGUGUAGAGGUGAAAUUCGUAGAUAUUCGGAAGAACACCAGUGGCGAAGGCGACUCACUGGACACAUAUUGACGCUGAGGUGCGAAAGCGUGGGGAGCAAACAGG
rnacentral:rRNA from 1 species